rnacentral:rRNA from 1 species
GGGGAAUUUUGGACAAUGGGCGCAAGCCUGAUCCAGCCAUGCCGCGUGGGUGAAGAAGGCCUUCGGGUUGUAAAGCCCUUUUGUUGGGAAAGAAAAGCAGCCGGCCAAUACCCGGUUGUUCUGACGGUACCCAAAGAAUAAGCACCGGCUAACUUCGUGCCAGCAGCCGCGGUAAUACGAAGGGUGCAAGCGUUACGCGGAAUUACUGGGCGUAAAGCGUGCGUAGGUGGUGGUUUAAGUUCGUUGUGCAAGCCCUGGGCUCAACCUGGGAAAUGGAAUGGAUACUGGGUCACUAGGGGGUGGCAGGAGGUAGUGGGAUUCCCGGGGUGGCAGUGAAAUGCGUGGGGAACGGGAGAAACAUCAGUGGCGAAGGCGACUGCCUGGGCCAACACUGACACUGGGGCACGAAAGCGUGGGGAGCAAACA